rnacentral:misc_RNA from 1 species
GAUUUUUUUUUUUUCCCCCUUAAUCAAAGAAUGUAAUUUUAAUAUGAUUUUGUUCGAAAUUUCAACAUUGGAAUGAUAUGCAUUAAGUUUUUAUUCAUCCUGUAUUCUGCUGAUUUUCCAGAUUUUGUUAGCUUUGUUAGUUGUAAGAAACUUGUUCAUGGGAUGAAAAUUUAGUUCAUGGGUUGACGCAGAUGGGGUUAGUGACCAAUUCAUGGGGAAAUGGAAGAAGAAAUUGUUGAAGAAACAAAGGAAGAAAACCCCACACAAUCCAGAGAAGAACAUACCCCUGGCAUGUCUCUCGCUCUACUGAAAUGCAGAGAAUCCAAAGGAGGCCGAAAGAUACACCCCCAAGGGCUCCAAGCCUCUGAAAAUCAGACUCGCCAAUUUGCCAUGCCAUACCCGUGUGGGCACGACACAACAAGGGAUAUA